rnacentral:rRNA from 1 species
GACGAACGCUGGCGGCGUGCUUAACACAUGCAAGUCGAACGGAAAGGCCCUGCUUGCAGGGUACUCGAGUGGCGAACGGGUGAGUAACACGUGGGUGAUCUGCCCUGCACUUCGGGAUAAGCCUGGGAAACUGGGUCUAAUACCGGAUAGGAGCCAUUUUUAGUGUGAUGGUUGGAAAGUUUUUUCGGUGUAGGAUGAGCUCGCGGCCUAUCAGCUUGUUGGUGGGGUAAUGGCCUACCAAGGCGGCGACGGGUAGCCGGCCUGAGAGGGUGGACGGCCACAUUGGGACUGAGAGACGGCCCAGACUCCUAAGGGAGGCAGCAGUGGGGAAUAUUGCACAAUGGGCGCAAGCCUGAUGCAGCGACGCCGCGUGGGGGAUGACGGCCUUCGGGUUGUAAACUCCUUUCGCGAGGGACGAAGCUUUUUGUGACGGUACCUAGAUAAGAAGCACCGGCUAACUACGUG